UAGGACAGAUGUUAAUCAUAGGUUUCAUAUCUCAAAUGUUGGAAGUAGACUGUCUAAAUAAUGGUUGUGAAUCAAUGCUCCAGCAAGGCUGACUGGGCCAGAGACCACAGGUAGCUGUCCUUCCUGCCACACAGCCUCCACUGGCGAGGUAUCUCCUAAUGGCAACCUGUCCUUGAGCUGGAAUCUGAGGGAGAUCUUAGCAGGGACAAACAAGCUCAUCAGCCAAACCUUUUGGCUUUCCUGCAGGAACUGGCACCUCCGUUUUCAGCCAGACAAAUUUCUCCUGAAAUCUCCGAUGACUCUGAGGUGUGGGGUUCAGCACCGUCUCCUUUGCCAGAGGCUGAACGGGUCCCGGAUGUCCGCUGGCGCUGCUCUCUACACAAGAAUGCUGAUAACCUCAGAGCAGCAGCCAAGGCCUGGGCCUGGAGCGUAGCUUUCUGCUGUAGCAGAGCCUGUCAAGAAGAAUCAGCCACCUCCUCUUUGACUUUAAAGACUUUAAAAACCAUUUCUACCAACUCCUGUAUGAGGGAUUAGGGACCAUGUGUCUAUCUAAAAUGGAUUUAAAUAGGUAAAUUUUGCAUGUUCCUAGUUACUUUCCAUUUAACUUUGAAAACAUGUACAGGAGGCUAAACAAAGCUUCAUCUUGUAAUUAAUCACAUUGGUUCUUAGAGUGAAUACAAAUAUAUUUAUGGAGCCAUUAAAGGAUUUGAUUAUUUAUGAGAUGAUUGACUAUUAUUAAAGACGAGGACUUUAGGUAUCAUUCC